CAGUAGCCGCGGGAAUACGUAGGUGGCAAGCGUUGUCCGGAAUUAUUGGGCGUAAAGGGCUCGCAGGCGGUUUCUUAAGUCUGAUGUGAAAGCCCCCGGCUCAACCGGGGAGGGUCAUUGGAAACUGGGAAACUUGAGUGCAGAAGAGGAGAGUGGAAUUCCACGUGUAGCGGUGAAAUGCGUAGAGAUGUGGAGGAACACCAGUGGCGAAGGCGACUCUCUGGUCUGUCACUGACGCUGAGGCUCGAAAGCGUGGGUAGCGAACAGGAUUAGAGACCCGUGUAGUCCCUGUCUCUUAUAU
rnacentral:rRNA from 1 species